UUCAACACUUAUUUCCAAAGGGAAAGAAUCUUAAUUGGUGAUAUCCUCAGUUUGCUCAAAGAAAUACAGUGUUCGCACUAGCAUAAAGAAGUGAGAGAUUUGGACCAAAAUAUAGAAGUACCUGGGUAAAAGUCCAGGCCAUGUCCUUCAUGUAAGUGUUUUAGGUUUUCAGGGGGCUCAACAUUUAAUAUUUUUGAACACCUACCAUGUGCCGGGCAUUCUGGAAGUUGUUUUAUUCCCAGCAGUCCUGUGAAAUGCCUAUAAUUGUCUCACUGUUACUGGCAAGGAAACCGAAGCUCAAAGAGGUGAAGGAACAUGGCCAGGCUUAUGUACUAAGGUCAACAGAACAGGAAUUUGGCCUGCCCAACUAAUUUUGUCUCACAAACCCAUGCACAUAGAAGGAAUGAAAACUUCGUGGGCGAAGUCUGGCCGUGCUGUGGACUCCGAGCAAUGACCCUGGCUUGCUUUGAGAUCCGUGUUUGUCUACCUUUCCUUGGCUCUGUGAUAUUGAGAGCUCUAACAAGCCAAGCCACUAUCGCUACGACUAGAAGCUUCUGUACUUCUCAGAGCAUUCAGGCAAGUUCUAAAAGCAAUCAGUGGAGUCCUAGUAAACACUUUGGGAUUACCCAGAAUGCUGCCUAAACCUGUUAACAGUUUGAGUAUGUGUAGCCACCGCCGUGAUCAGGUGCAGGCAAAGCUGUAGGUGUUUAGUGUGUGGAAAGACUCUAAAAGGAGGUUCAGAGGGGUAGCUGGAGGUGUCUGUGCGGUGGGGGGGGGGGGGUUGUGGGGAGGAAAGGAUUACAAGGAUUAAGUCAGAACUUCAGAGAUAAGGGUUCUGGGCUGAGGAAUGAGCAAGUAAACACAGCUUAAGCUGGGCAAAAGAACUGAAUUUUCUAAGCUGUGGACUUGAUUUAUUGGAUUAUUUUUAAGUGUUUGUUACCUGCUGUUCAGACAACUGA